rnacentral:rRNA from 1 species
GUGGGGAAUUUUGGACAAUGGGCGCAAGCCUGAUCCAGCAAUGCCGCGUGCAGGAAGAAGGCCUUCGGGUUGUAAACUGCUUUUGUACGGAACGAAACGGUCCGGGUUAAUACCCUGGGCUAAUGACGGUACCGUAAGAAUAAGCACCGGCUAACUACGUGCCAGCAGCCGCGGUAAUACGUAGGGUGCAAGCGUUAAUCGGAAUUACUGGGCGUAAAGCGUGCGCAGGCGGUUUUGUAAGACAGGCGUGAAAUCCCCGGGCUCAACCUGGGAACUGCCUCCAAAACUGCAUGACUAGAGUACGGUAGAGGGUAGUGGAAUUUCCUGUGUAGCGGUGAAAUGCGUAGAUAUGCGGAGGAACACCGAUGGCGAAGGCAAUCCCCUGGGCCUGCACUGACGCUCAUGCACGAAAGCGUGGGGAGCAAACAGGAUUAGAAACCCCGGUAGUCC